AUGGCGGAUGCACCUCUGUACAAGCAGCGCUGCAGGUACACUAGGGAGCUCCACGACGUCGACCUCCACGGCAACCACAAGCUCCAUGUCGUUUGCACAAGCAAGGGUGAAGAGGUGGACAAGAUGCUGUCCACACUCAGGAGGAAGCUCGGCGGAAUGCCCGUCAAACUAGUCGGCGUUGAUGUCGAGUACACGCACUACGUGAAGCCACAGCGGGCAGCAGUGCUCCAGCUAUGCGUAGAAAAGGAAUGCCUUGUCUACCACAUCUCUGCAGCUAAAGAUAGGCCAAUGGAACUAGACAAAUUCCUUAUGAAUGGUGAGUACACCUUCGUCGGAUUCGCCAUUGAAGGAGACAAAAGCAAGCUGAAGCUUUCUGGUUUGGAGAUCAACUCUGACAACUACAUUGAUAUUCAGGUGGAAUGGAGAGACCCAUACAAUAAAAACAAGUUUCACUCUUUGGCUGAUGUUGCCGGCAGGAUGAUAGACAUUCACUACCAUGACAUGAAGAAAAAAAUU
rnacentral:rRNA from 1 species